AGUAUACUCCCUCCAUUCGGAAUUACUUGUCGUAGAAGUGGAUGUAUCUUGACGUAUUUUAGUUCUAGAUACAUCCAUUUCCGAGACAAGUAAUUCCGAACGGAGGGAGUAGCCA
rnacentral:pre_miRNA from 1 species